CCUACGGGCGGCAGCAGUGGGGAAUAUUGGACAAUGGGGGGAACCCUGAUCCAGCCAUGCCGCGUGUGUGAAGAAGGCCCUCGGGUUGUAAAGCGCUUUCAGUGAGGAAGAACGCCUGGUGGUUAAUACCCAUCAGGAAAGACAUCACUCACAGAAGAAGCACCGGCUAACUCCGUGCCAGCAGCCGCGGUAAUACGGAGGGUGCGAGCGUUAAUCGGAAUUACUGGGCGUAAAGCGCGCGUAGGUGGCUUGAUAAGCCGGUUGUGAAAGCCCCGGGCUCAACCUGGGAACGGCAUCCGGAACUGUCAAGCUAGAGUGCAGGAGAGGAAGGUAGAAUUCCCGGUGUAGCGGUGAAAUGCGUAGAGAUCGGGAGGAAUACCAGUGGCGAAGGCGGCCUUCUGGACUGACACUGACACUGAGGUGCGAAAGCGUGGGUAGCAAACAGGAUUAGAUACCCGUGUAGUC
rnacentral:rRNA from 1 species